rnacentral:rRNA from 1 species
GAGUUUGAUCCUGGCUCAGGAUGAACGCUAGCGGCAGGCUUAACACAUGCAAGUCGAGGGGUAACGGGGAAGCUUGCUUCCGCCGACGACCGGCGCACGGGUGCGUAACGCGUAUACAAUCUACCUUAUACUGGGGUAUAGCCUUUAGAAAUGAAGAUUAACCCCCCAUAGUCUCUUAGAGUGGCAUCACUUCUAGAGUAAAGGUUACGGUAUAAGAUGAGUAUGCGUUCUAUUAGUUUGUUGGUGUGGUAACGGCACACCAAGACUACGAUAGAUAGGGGCCCUGAGAGGGGGAUCCCCCACACUGGUACUGAGACACGGACCAGACUCCUACGGGAGGCAGCAGUGAGGAAUAUUGGACAAUGGAGGCAACUCUGAUCCAGCCAUGCCGCGUGCAGGAAGACUGCCCUAUGGGUUGUAAACUGCUUUUAUACAGGAAGAAACACCUCUACGUGUAGAGGCUUGACGGUACUGUAAGAAUAAGGAUCGACUAACUCCGUGCCAGCAGCCGCGGUAAUACGGAGGAUCCAAGCGUUAUCCGGAAUCAUUGGGUUUAAAGGGUCCGUAGGUGGAUAAUUAAGUCAGAGGUGAAAUCUUGCAGCUCAACUGUAAAAUUGCCUUUGAAACUGGUUAUCUUGAGUUAUUAUGAAGUAGUUAGAAUAUGUAGUGUAGCGGUGAAAUGCAUAGAUAUUACAUAGAAUACCAAUUGCGAAGGCAGAUUACUAAUAAUCAACUGACACUGAUGGACGAAAGCGUGGGUAGCGAACAGGAUUAGAUACCUUGGUAGUCCACGCCGUAAACGAUGGUUACUAGCUGUUUGGACUUCGGUCUGAGUGGCUAAGCGAAAGUGAUAAGUAACCCACCUGGGGAGUACGUUCGCAAGAAUGAAACUCAAGGGAAUUGACGGGGGCCCGCACAAGCGGUGGAGCAUGUGGUUUAAUUCGAUGAUACGCGAGGAACCUUACCAGGGCUUAAAUGUAAGUUGCAUUAGUUAGAGAUAGCUAUUUCUUCGGACCACUUACAAGGUGCUGCAUGGUUGUCGUCAGCUCGUGCCGUGAGGUGUCAGGUUAAGUCCUAUAACGAGCGCAACCCCUGUUGUUAGUUGCCAGCGAGUCAUGUCGGGAACUCUAGCAAGACUGCCAGUGCAAACUGUGAGGAAGGUGGGGAUGACGUCAAAUCAUCACGGCCCUUACGUCCUGGGCUACACACGUGCUACAAUGGUAGGUACAGAGAGCAGCCACUGCGCGAGCAGGAGCGAAUCUAUAAAACCUAUCACAGUUCGGAUCGGAGUCUGCAACUCGACUCCGUGAAGCUGGAAUCGCUAGUAAUCGGAUAUCAGCCAUGAUCCGGUGAAUACGUUCCCGGGCCUUGUACACACCGCCCGUCAAGCCAUGGAAGUUGGAAGUGCCUGAAGUCCGUCACCGUAAGGAGCGGCCUAGGGUAAAGUCGAUAACUAGGGCUAAGUCGUAACAAGGUAACC